GAGGAUUUAGCUCAGUGGGUAGAGUGCAUGCCUAGCAUACACAAGGUUCUGGGUUCUAUUCCCAGUAUCACCG
rnacentral:tRNA from 1 species